UAUCUCCCUCUCCUCUCCCUCUUCUCGCCCCGCAGUGCUGGCCCUGCAGGCCCGCAGGCGGCGGCCCAAGCAGCCCGCGGCGGCCGGCAGGAGGGACAAGCACCCGCCGCCGCACAAAAAAAGAAGAGAGUGUGUGUGUAUGGACAUGCAUAAGUGACAUCAUGUGCUGACUCAUUAAAUGCUAGCCAUCAGCGUGGUGACCUGGGAAAGAGCUGGGAGUGCUAGAGCAGAGGAGAAGGUCGAGUGCCGUAGUUCUGAGCUCCGGGUGGCCUCACUCAACAAAAUCAGCUUCAUGUAAUGUAGGAGAGGACGGGGGACAACGAAGGACAGCAUGACAUCAAGAAGCCAAGCUGAAUGUAUUGUUGAGGGACUCAAGCUUCUGGUUUCCAUCCUGAGAACGCCUGCAACACCGGUUUCCUUCCUGUCGUGUUUCAUCCUUCCUGUAUCCCAAGUUCCGCCAUGUCCUCCUCCUCAUGAAGAUUCAUGAAUUGAUGUUUUAAAAUGGUAGUACUAGAGCUGCUAUUUUUCAUGAAUAAAAUAUCUCCCUGAGUAAGUCCUUAACA
rnacentral:lncRNA from 1 species